rnacentral:rRNA from 1 species
GUAGCAGGCUAAGUGGGCAUGAAUGUGGGGAAAACUCCACAGUUAAGCACGCUUGAGCCAGAGUCGUCUUGGGAUGGGUAACCACUUGGGAAGUCCUAGUUACCAGGUGCA